AGCAGCCGCGGUAAUUCCAGCUCCAAUAGCGUAUAUUAAAGUUGUUGCAGUUAAAAAGCUCGUAGUUGAAUUUCGGGGUCAGUAGGUUGGUCGUGCCACCGGUACGUACUGGUCUCACUGAUUCCUCCUUCCUGAUGAGCCGUAAUGCCAUUAAUUUGGUGUUGCAGGGAAUCUGGACUGUUACUUUGAAAAAAUUAGAGUGUUUAAAGCAGGCUAACGCUUGAAUACAUUAGCAUGGAAUAAUGAAAUAGGACGUUCGAUCCUAUUUUGUUGGUUUCUAGGAUUGACGUAAUGAUUAAUAGGGAUAGUUGGGGGCAUUAGUAUUCAAUUGUCAGAGGUGAAAUUCUUGGAUUUAUUGAAGACUAACUACUGCGAAAGCAUUUGCCAAGGAUGUUUUCAUUAAUCAAGAACGAAAGUUAGGGGAUCGAAGACGAUCAGAUACCGUCGUAGUCUUAACCAUAAACUAUGCCGACUAGGGAUCGGAUGAUGUUAAUUUUUUAAUGACUCA
rnacentral:rRNA from 1 species